AAAGUCGUAACAAGGUCUCCGUAGGUGAACCUGCGGAGGGAUCAUUAACAAAUCAAACACAAACACUGUGUAACUGUCUGUUCCUGGGUUUGCUGCAGUUGCUUUUGUGCUUAUGUGGGGAGUGUGUAAGCCUUGAUGAGCAUUGCAGAGGAUGCCCAGGACCAACCUACAAACUAUUGUCAGAUGUAUUACAAACGUAAUCAAAAACAACUUUUAACAAUGGAUCUCUUGGCUCUU
rnacentral:misc_RNA from 1 species